UUUUUAGCGGCGGACGGGUGUGUAACGUGUGGGCAACCUGCCUUUUACUGGGGAAUAAUCACUGGAAACGGUGACUAAUACCGCAUAAUAUUCUUGGAAGGCAUCUUCCGAGAAGGAAAGGAAAUAUUCGGUAAAAGAUGGGCCCGCAUCUGAUUAGCUAGUUGGUGAGAUAACAGCCCACCAAGGCGACGAUCAGUAGCCGACCUGAGAGGGUGACCGGCCACAUUGGGACUGAGACACGGCCCAAACUCCUACGGAAGGCAGCAG
rnacentral:rRNA from 1 species